GAUGAACGCUGGCGGCGUGCCUAAUACAUGCAAGUCGAGCGAACGGACGAGAAGCUUGCUUCUCUGAUGUUAGCGGCGGACGGGUGAGUAACACGUGGAUAACCUACCUAUAAGACUGGGAUAACUUCGGGAAACCGUAGCUAAUACCGGAUAAUAUUUUGAACCGCAUGAUUCAAAAGUGAAAGACGGUCUUGCUGUCACUUAUAGAUGGAUCCGCGCUGCAUUAGCUAGUUGGUAAGGUAACGGCUUACCAAGGCAACGAUGCAUAGCCGACCUGAGAGGGUGAUCGGCCACACUGGAACUGAGACACGGUCCAGACUCCUACGGGAGGCAGCAGUAGGGAAUCUUCCGCAAAGGGCGAAAGCCUGACGGAGCAACGCCGCGUGAGUGAUGAAGGUCUUCGGAUCGUAAAACUCUGUUAUUAGGGAAGAACAUAUGUGUAAGUAACUGUGCACAUCUUGACGGUACCUAAUCAGAAAGCCACGGCUAACUACGUG
rnacentral:rRNA from 1 species